rnacentral:rRNA from 1 species
CCUACGGGUGGCAGCAGUGAGGAAUAUUGGUCAAUGGGCGAGAGCCUGAACCAGCCAAGUCGCUUGAAGGAUGACGGCCCUACGGGUUGUAAACUUCUUUUGUCAGGGAGCAAUUUAGUCCACGUGUGGUCUUAGCGAUAGUACCUGAAGAAAAAGCCUCGGCUAACUCCGUGCCAGCAGCCGCGGUAAUCCGGAGGAUGCGAGCGUUCUCCGGAUUUAUUGGGUUUAAAGGGUGCGUAGGCGGAAUAUCAAGUCAGCGGUAAAAAUUCGGGGCUCAACCCCGUCGUGCCGUUGAAACUGAUGUUCUGGAGAGGGCGAGAAGUAUGCGGAAUGCGUGGUGUAGCGGUGAAAUGCAUAGAUAUCACGCAGAACUCCGAUUGCGAAGGCAGCAUACCGGCGCCCAACUGACGCUGAAGCACGAAAGCGUGGGUAUCGAACAGGAUUAGAUACCCCUGUAGUC